rnacentral:tRNA from 1 species
GUAGCUCAGUUGGUUAGAGCGCUUGGUCGACAUCCAAGAGGUCGGUGGUUCGAGUCCACUC